UACGUAGGGGGCAAGCGUUGUCCGGAAUCAUUGGGCGUAAAGAGCGUGUAGGCGGUCCUGUAAGUCCGCUGUGAAAGUCAAGGGCUCAACCCUUGAAUGCCGGUGGAUACUGCAGGACUAGAGUCCGGAAGAGGCGAGUGGAAUUCCUGGUGUAGCGGUGAAAUGCGCAGAUAUCAGGAGGAACACCGAUGGCGAAGGCAGCUCGCUGGGACGGUACUGACGCUGAGACGCGAAAGCGUAGGGAGCAAACAGG
rnacentral:rRNA from 1 species